AGCUACAGGCUUAACACAUGCAAGUCGAGGGGCAUCAGGAAGAAAGCUUGCUUUCUUUGCUGGCGACCGGCGCACGGGUGAGUAACACGUAUCCAACCUGCCCUUUACUCGGGGAUAGCCUUUCGAAAGAAAGAUUAAUACCCGAUAGCAUAAUGAUUCCGCAUGGUUUCAUUAUUAAAGGAUUCCGGUAAAGGAUGGGGAUGCGUUCCAUUAGGUUGUUGGUGAGGUAACGGCCCACCAAGCCUUCGAUGGAUAGGGGUUCUGAGAGGAAGGUCCCCCACAUUGGAACUGAGACACGGUCCAAACUCCUACGGGAGGCAGCAGUGAGGAAUAUUGGUCAAUGGGCGCUAGCCUGAACCAGCCAAGUAGCGUGAAGGAUGAAGGCUCUAUGGGUCGUAAACUUCUUUUAUAUAAGAAUAAAGUGCAGUAUGUAUACUGUUUUGUAUGUAUUAUAUGAAUAAGGAUCGGCUAACUCCGUGCCAGCAGCCGCGGUAAUACGGAGGAUCCGAGCGUUAUCCGGAUUUAUUGGGUUUAAAGGGAGCGUAGGUGGACUGGUAAGUCAGUUGUGAAAGUUUGCGGCUCAACCGUAAAAUUGCAGUUGAUACUGUCAGUCUUGAGUACAGUAGAGGUGGGCGGAAUUCGUGGUGUAGCGGUGAAAUGCUUAGAUAUCACGAAGAACUCCGAUUGCGAAGGCAGCUCACUGGACUGCAACUGACACUGAUGCUCGAAAGUGUGGGUAUCAAACAGGAUUAGAUACCCUGGUAGUCCACACAGUAAACGAUGAAUACUCGCUGUUUGCGAUAUACAGUAAGCGGCCAAGCGAAAGCAUUAAGUAUUCCACCUGGGGAGUACGCCGGCAACGGUGAAACUCAAAGGAAUUGACGGGGGCCCGCACAAGCGGAGGAACAUGUGGUUUAAUUCGAUGAUACGCGAGGAACCUUACCCGGGCUUAAAUUGCAGUGGAAUGAUGUGGAAACAUGUCAGUGAGCAAUCACCGCUGUGAAGGUGCUGCAUGGUUGUCGUCAGCUCGUGCCGUGAGGUGUCGGCUUAAGUGCCAUAACGAGCGCAACCCUUAUCUUUAGUUACUAACAGGUUAUGCUGAGGACUCUAGAGAGACUGCCGUCGUAAGAUGUGAGGAAGGUGGGGAUGACGUCAAAUCAGCACGGCCCUUACGUCCGGGGCUACACACGUGUUACAAUGGGGGGUACAGAAGGCAGCUAGCGGGUGACCGUAUGCUAAUCCCAAAAUCCUCUCUCAGUUCGGAUCGAAGUCUGCAACCCGACUUCGUGAAGCUGGAUUCGCUAGUAAUCGCGCAUCAGCCACGGCGCGGUGAAUACGUUCCCGGGCCUUGUACACACCGCCCGUCAAGCCAUGGGAGCCGGGGGUACCUGAAGUACGUAACCGCAAGGAUCGUCCUAGGGUAAAACUGGUGACUGGGGCUAAGUCAUAAC
rnacentral:rRNA from 1 species